rnacentral:lncRNA from 1 species
GCUGCUAGAAAUGCUGGAAUUGCUAGAAUAGUGUCGACGCAUAAGUUUCAUGUGUCAUCGUUGUUGCUGGUGCGUGGGGCCACAUGCUACUACUUUUGGAGGUUGUAAAUUUAGUGAAUUUAAAACUUCUCUGUCUCCUCUUUGAUUCCUCAAUGGCGGUGUAGCAAAUGGAUACAUGUAGGUGGAGCUUUGCUACGUUUAAGUUUUUGUAUUCUUCCUGUUUUUCAGUCUAGAUCUACCUCUUCUCCUAAUUUCAGGGUGUUACUUCUACCAUGUCUGAAACUACUAUAUCCCCUCUUUGAUUCCCCACUAGCAGAGUCCCAAACGGACACUUGCAGAGAAUAUUCUGCUAUGUUAAACUUUUAGUCUUCUCCUUGUUUUUCAGUUUGUCUUCUCUCACUAUUGCCAAGUGUUAUUGCUCCUUCUAGAAGAAAAUCCAAUGAGGUUUGAAACUGCUACAUAUCCUCUUAGAUUCCCCACUAGCAAAAAUGCAAACGGACAUCUGUGAAGGGAGGUUGCUAUGUUGAAGUUUGAUGUCUCCUCCUGUUUUUUUUUUUUUUUCCAACGUAGAUGGUUCCUACUGCUACUGUUUGUAGCGCAAUUUUGUGAUGAUUUGAUGGCUGUCUUGUGGUGACUUGGAACUGGAUUAUUCUGGUAUGGAAAGUGGUUGUUUGGAUGGUGUUUUAGUGGCAAAGCUUUGUCUGGUUUGGGGUCUGUUUCAAGGUGUUUUGGUUGGAGUUUUCACAUAUGUCUAGAGGUGGUUUUGUGCGCUGUUUCUGGGCUGAUUUCGGGGUUUUUUUGUGGACGAUGCUUUGUGGAUGUUUGAGGGUUGUUUUAUGGUGGCUGUCAUGGGUGGAAGAUGGAGUUGUCCUGGCCGGAUGUGGGGAGGGGCUGUCACGGGUGAAGGAGGUGAAGGAGGCUGUUAUUAGUGAUGGUGGCUCACGGGUGGUACUGGGUCUUGGCUGCUGCUGGUCCCGAGAGGAAGAAAGGGAGUAGAAGUUCUAAGAAAAAAAUGAGAGGGAGAGAGGGACGGUCUUCAGCACAAAGAUGGAAGAGGACUAUCCAUUUUUGUAUCCUGUUUCCUGUGGGAGUUAUGCCUGGAAAGAUGAUGGAAGAGGCCAUGGGUCUCUAGCUAAACAGAGAAGACCACGGGCUCUUACGGUGAUACUAAUGAUAAAAAUCAGAGAGCUUCCCUCCUCUGGUUAUGCUGGUAUCAAAAGGAUGUAUCAGAGGAGUUUCCUUCCCCUUUUAUCUUUGGCUGGUCCGGACUCCCUUCAAUCAUGGGGUAAUGGUUUUCUUCUAUUUUCUUUUCAUAGGGAGAGUGGGUGCAGGUCAAAAUGGAGAAAAUGUAGAAAACUAAGGGUCUAUGACCUAAACAGUGAAGGUUUUUUUUUUUUUUCAAUUCAGUAUCUUUUUCUUUUUUUUUUCUUUUUGUCUGUUUUUCUUCUUUCAAUUUUUUCCCUUUUUUUUUCAAUGUCAUACUCAUAUUUUUUUUUAACAAACAUCCAAGUUGUCUUUAAAUUAGCCAAGUUAACUGAAUCACGUCGGAACAACUCUUACAUGAUUUAGUUUUAAACCUAUGCUAAGUAAAGAAUCAAAGGUUUUUUUUGUCAAUUUUAUUAUUUUUUCCUUAAAUUUUUCCUCAGAUUUUUUCACUCGUCGACUAGGUUUUUUUUGGACUAGUCUAAGUCUUGACAACUCUCAUGUUUUUAAAUUUUAAACCUAAAUUUGGCAAGAAGAUGUGGUGGGAUGUUUUUUCUAUCACUUUCAUCAUUUUUUUUCUCAAUUUCAUCCUUAUAAUUUUUUUGUUGGUUGGUCAGGUUGUCUAUAAAUCGACCAAGUUAACUGAGUCAUGUCAAGUCAACCUUACUCGGUUUAACUUUGACAACAUAGGUAAGAAAAACAAUAAAAAAUCAAAAGAAAAUGGACCAAAUUGAAAUCAUUAUUAUCAUUCAAAAAACAAAAACUAUUAAGUAUAAAAUUUAAAACCAUAAAAACUUUGACAAAAAGGCAAAGGAUAAAAAUAAAAAAUUAAAAGUAGAAGGACCGAAUUGAUAAACAUUAUCUAUACAAAUUAAAAGGCAAGGGUUAAAUUAAAAACAACAAAACUUUAACAAAAAAGAAAAUGAAAAAAAUACAGAAAUCAAAACCAAAAAGACCAAAUCUGAAAUACCAAUAACAACGAGGACCAUUGUGUAUUUAUCGAGUUAGGAGAGAGAAAUGAAGGGAUGAAAAGAAAGGGUCAUUGAUGAUAAAUCAGUAAUAUCUAGAUAUCAUAUGUCACUCUAAAUAAAAAAGGAGAUGAUGAGGAAUAACAUGCAAGGGAGCCCAUUUUUAAGCACCUAGAGUCGUCACAUACAUGCCGUCCAAAGUGUGAUGGCAGCUUCAACACACUAACAGAUUUUUUCAAAUUAAAAAUAUUAUUUUAAUGAUCAAUUACGUAACUACCUUUAACCAAACUAAUAAUUAACAAAAAAAUCAUGGUUGAAAGACCAUAAUACCCUUGAUCAUAAUAAAUUAGAUUUCUUGGAUCUAAGAUACAUGUGUAAUUCGAUUGUGUAUAAAAAUAAAAAUACCAAAAUACCCCUACCCGAAACCCUUUAUUUUUCUACACUUGUGACAAUAACUUAGUAAUUUUCUUCAUUUUUAUCUACUUUAGAAAAUAAUUAUAUUCAAUGAAUGAUUGUCAACAUGCAGUUUUUCAUCUAAUGCAUUACGACACAAUCAAGCAGUGUAUGUUGCACCAUGCACCUCACACCAGAAGUCUAAUUGAAGCGAAGCAUUAGAAGUUUAUACUGGCCACUCGAAGGAACAGCUAAGGUAUGUGAAAGGCUAGG